rnacentral:rRNA from 1 species
UACGGGGGGGGCAAGCGUUUUUCGGAAUUACUGGGCGUAAAGGGCUCGUAGGUGGCCAACUAAGUCAGACGUGAAAUCCCUCGGCUUAACCGGGGAACUGCGUCUGAUACUGGAUGGCUAGAGUUUGGGAGAGGGAUGCGGAAUUCCAGGUGUAGCGGUGAAAUGCGUAGAUAUCAGGAGGAACACCGGUGGCGAAGGCGGUGGUCUGGGCCGGAACUGACGCUGAGGAGCGAAAGCGUGGGGAGCGAACAGG